rnacentral:rRNA from 1 species
GACGAACCGUCCAAACGUUAUUCGGAAUCACUGGGCUUAAGGGGCGCGUAGGCGGCCGAGCGGGUCACGGGUGAAAUCCUCCAGCUUAACUGGAGAACUGCCCUUGAUACCACUGCGGCUCGAGGAAGGAAGGGGCAAUCGGAACUGUCGGUGGAGCGGUGAAAUGCGUUGAUAUCGACAGGAACGCCGGUGGCGAAAGCGGAUUGCUGGUCCUUUUCUGACGCUGAGGCGCGAAAGCCAGGGGAGCAAACGGG